rnacentral:rRNA from 1 species
AUUGAACGCUGGCGGCAUGCUUUACACAUGCAAGUCGAACGGUAACAGGCCUUCGGGUGCUGACGAGUGGCGAACGGGUGAGUAAUGCAUCGGAACGUACCCAGAGGUGGGGGAUAACGCAGCGAAAGCUGUGCUAAUACCGCAUGUGAUCUGAGGAUGAAAGCGGGGGACCGAGCAGCAAUGUUUGGCCUCGCGCCUUUGGAGCGGCCGAUGUCGGAUUAGCUAGUUGGUGGGGUAAAGGCCUACCAAGGCGACGAUCCGUAGCUGGUCUGAGAGGACGACCCGGCAACCCUGGGCUUGAGAACGGCCCCGGCCCCCUACGGGGGGCGCCGGGGGGAAUUUUUGACAAGGGGGGGAAACCCUGUCCAACAAAGGCGCGGGCGGGAAGAAGGCCUUCGGGUUGUAAACCGCUUUUGGCAGGAACGAAACGGUGUCCGCUAAUACCGGGCGCUAAUGACGGUACCUGCAGAAUAAGCACCGGCUAACUACGUG